AUAAUAUUGGUUAUAAUAUAUUUUUACAUUGUGUAUUCCUUUAUCAAAAAAUCCACUCAUGGUAGAAAAAGUUUUACCAAAUACAUUGAGGAGAAUUAAUUAAUCAUGAAUUUGUCAUGGUAACACUAACAUCUGUGGCCAAUGAAUCUAUACAAUUAGAUAGAUAUUGACUUAAACGGAAUAUACUAUAAAAAUUGAAGAAGUGUAUCUAAAAUGCAUUAAAAUAUUGGACGAACGGAUACAUAAUAAUGCCAACAUACCAGAUUUAACCAAUAGUUGAUAUUGAUAUAUAAAGUGAAUAUACAGGCAAUACCAAUUUAAAUUCAACUUUUGAAAAAUCAUUCAAUAUUCCGUUUUACGAUUUGUCGCUAGGUAAUAUUUGAAAACUAUUUACAUAUACAAAUACAAUGUAUGGUACAUUUUUUACAUGCUUAAGAUUUAAUACUAGCCCAGUUUAAUUCUCACUAACUAAAGAAAUGACAAAAUCAUAAAUUUUUAUACCUUCAUGAAUAAAUGUAGAAAGCAUGUUAUAAUAUUACAAAUAAAU